CGAGCCGGGCGGACGGCCGCGUGGAGCUCCCCAGGGAGCUUCCCGAGGAACGUCCGGGCUCCACAGGGCAGGGUGGUGGCUAACGGCCACCCGGGGUGACCCGCGGGACAGUGCCACAGAAAGCAGACCGCCGGGGACCUCGGUCCUCGGUAAGGGUGAAACGGUGGUGUAAGAGACCACCAGUGCUCAGGGUGACCUGAGCAGCUAGGUAAACCCCACCCGGAGCAAGGUCAAGAGGAAACACCCCGGUGUUUCUGCGCGGACGUUCGAGGGCUGCCCGCCCGAGUCCGCGGGUAGACCGCAGGAGGCCGGUGGCAACGCCGGUCGUAGAUGGAUGGCCGUCGCCGGGGGGUUCGUGAGGACCCUCCGGAACAGAACCCGGCGUACAGCCCGACUCGUCUG
rnacentral:RNase_P_RNA from 2 species